GAUGAAGAACGCAGCGAAAUGCGAUAAGUAAUGUGAAUUGCAGAAUGCAGUGAAUCAUCGAAUCUUUGAACGCACAUUGCGCCCCCUGGUAUUCCGGGGGGCAUGCCUGUUCGAGCGUCAUUUCACCACUCAAGCCUCGCUUGGUAUUGGGCAACGCGGUCCGCCGCGUGCCUCAAAUCGACCGGCUGGGUCUUCUGUCCCCUAAGCGUUGUGGAAACUAUUCGCUAAAGGGUGUUCGGGAGGCUACGCCGUAAAACAACCCCAUUUCUAAGGUUGACCUCGGAUCAGGUAGGGAUACCCGCUGAACUUAAGCAUAUCAAUAAGCGGAGGA
rnacentral:misc_RNA from 1 species